rnacentral:rRNA from 1 species
CUCAGAAACUCAAAUGAAUUGACGGGGCCCGCACAAGCGGAGGAGCAUGUGGUUUAAUUCGAUGAUACGCGAGGAACCUUACCUGGGCUCGAACGUAAGAUGACUGUAGGUGAAAGCUUACAUCUCUUCGGAGCAUUUUACGAGGUGCUGCAUGGUUGUCGUCAGCUCGUGCCGUGAGGUGCCGGGUUAAGCCCCAUAACGAGCGCAACCCCUACCUUUAGUUGCCAUCAGGUUAAGCUGGGGACUCUAAAGGAACUGCCUACGCAAGUAGUGAGGAAGGCGGGGAUGACGUCAAAUCAGCACGGCCCUUACGUCCAGGGCUACACACGUGCUACAAUGGCCGAUACAGAGGGCAGCUACCUGGUGACAGGAUGCAAAUCUCCAAAGUCGGUCUCAGUUCGGAUCGGAGUCUGCAACCCGACUCCGUGAAGUUGGAUUCGCUAGUAAUCGCGCAUCAGCCAUGGCGCGGUGAAUACGUUCCCGGGCCUU